rnacentral:rRNA from 1 species
UACGAGGGGGGCAAGCGUUGUUCGGAAUUAUUGGGCGUAAAGGGUGCGUAGGCGGUCUGACAAGUCUGAUGUGAAAUCUCUGGGCUCAACCCAUAGUCUGCAUCGGAAACUGUCGGGCUUGAGUAUGGGAGAGGUGAGUGGAAUUUCCGGUGUAGCGGUGAAAUGCGUAGAUAUCGGAAGGAACACCUGUGGCGAAAGCGGCUCACUGGACCAGUACUGACGCUGAUGCACGAAAGCUAGGGGAGCAAACAGG